rnacentral:rRNA from 1 species
AUGAUGGGAGGUGGGCUGCUCAUGGAUCAGGGCAUGGCGUUCUCCGGCGUGCACAACUUCGUGGAUCUGCUCCAGCAGAACGGCGCCGACAAGAACCUCGGCUUCGGCUCCCUUAUGCCGCAGACUUCCUCCGGCGACCAGUGCGUCAUGGGCGAGGGCGACCUCGUGGACCCCCCGACGGACAACUUCCCGGACGCCGGGGAGGACGACAGCGACGACGAUGUGGAUGACAUCGAGGAGCUGGAGCGCCGCAUGUGGCGCGACCGCAUGAAGCUCAAGCGCCUCAAGGAGCUGCAGCAGAGCCGCGGCAAAGAGCAGGCCGCCGCCGGCGGCGGCGUUGGCGACGGCUUGAAGCCGCGGCAGUCGCAGGAGCAGGCGCGCCGCAAGAAGAUGUCGCGCGCGCAGGACGGCAUCCUCAAGUACAUGCUCAAGAUGAUGGAGGUGUGCCGCGCCCAGGGGUUCGUGUACGGCAUCAUUCCGGAGAAGGGCAAGCCCGUGAGCGGCGCCUCUGACAACCUCCGUGCCUGGUGGAAGGAGAAGGUCCGCUUCGACCGGAACGGCCCGGCCGCCAUCGCCAAGUACCAGGCGGACAACGCCGUGCCGGGCUCCGAGAGCGAGCUGGCUUCCGGCACCGCCAGCCCGCACUCGCUGCAGGAGCUGCAGGACACCACGCUGGGCUCGCUCCUCUCGGCGCUCAUGCAGCACUGCGAUCCCCCGCAGCGAAGGUUCCCGCUCGAGAAGGGCAUCUCUCCUCCAUGGUGGCCGUCCGGCGACGAGGAGUGGUGGCCGGAGCUUGGCAUCCCCAAGGACCAGGGCCCGCCCCCGUACAAGAAGCCCCAUGACCUCAAGAAGGCUUGGAAGGUGAGCGUGCUCACCGCUGUCAUCAAGCACAUGUCGCCGGACAUCGAGAAGAUCCGGCGCCUCGUCCGCCAGUCCAAGUGCCUCCAGGACAAGAUGACCGCCAAGGAGAUCUCCACCUGGCUGGCCGUGGUGAAGCAGGAAGAGGAGCUGUUCAUGAGGCUGCACCCGGGCGCUCGCCCUCCAGCGUCUGCCGGCGGCAUCGCCAGUGCCAUAUCAUUCAACGCCAGCUCGAGUGAGUACGACGUUGACCUCGCCGACGACUGCAAGGGCGAUGAGGCCGGCACCCACAAGAUGGCCAUGGCCGAUCCAACCGCCUUCAACCUCGGCGCGGCCAUCCUGAAUGACAAGUUCCUGAUGCAAGCGCCCAUGAAAGAGGAGACCGCCGACAUGGAGUAUGUCCAGAAGAGGAGUGCGGUGGCCGCCGAGCCGGAGCUGAUGCUGAACAACCGCGUCUACACCUGCAACAACGUCCAGUGCCCGCACAGCGACUACGGGUACGGAUUCCUUGACCGGAAUGCGCGCAGCAGCCACCAGUACACCUGCAAGUACAAUGAUCCCCUCCCGCCAAGCGCGGAGAACAAGGCAGCGCCACCUGCGCCGCCGCAAGUCUUCCCGGCGGCCUACAACCAGCAGAACCAUGGGCUCAACAACCUGGAUUUUGGCCUGCCCAUGGAUGGGCAGAGGUCCAUCGCCGAGCUGAUGAACAUGUACGACACCGCCUUCCCGGCCACCAACAAGAACAUGGGCAACGACGACGUCACCAUUAUAGAGAGGCCCAAUGCCAUCACCCCGGGAGCGCAGAUGGACGAGGGUUUCUUUGGACAGGGCAAUGGAAUUGGAGGCAAUGGCGACAGUAUGUUCAGUGAUGUCAGUAACAUGAUGCAGCAGCAGCAGCAGCAGCAAGCACAACAGCCACAGCAGCAGCAGGCCCCGGCGCAGCAGCAGUUCUUCAUCCGUGACGACGCGCAGGCGCAGUUCGGGAACCAGAUGGGCAGCAUCUCCGGCGCAUCGGAUUUCAGGUUCGGCUCUGGCUUCAACAUGUCUGGCACCGUCGACUACCCGCAGAAGAACGACGGCCCCAAUUGGUACUACUGA